GGUGUAGACUGUUUUUUAAGUCAGUUGUGAAAUCUCCUGACUCAAUUAGGAGCCUGCAAUUGAUACUGGAGGACUUGAGGGCGGCAGAAGAAAGCAGAAUUCCCGGUGUAGCGGUGAAAUGCGUAGAUAUCGGGAGGAAUACCAGUGGCGAAGGCGGCUUUCUAGGCUGCUCCUGACGUUGAGGCCCGAAAGUGUGGGGAGCGAAACGGAUUAGAUACCCGUGUAGUCCACACCUUAAACUUUGAAUACUAGGUAUAGGGGGUAUCGACCCUCUCUGUGCCGAAGCUAACGCUUUAAGUAUUCCGCCUGGGGACUACGGCCACAAGGCUAAA
rnacentral:rRNA from 1 species